GUGGGCAGGUGCUGGAGCUGGCCCUCCCGCCCGAGACUAGAGGAAGGGCCCGGGGCGUGGGAGGGGCUCCACCUAGGGCAGCCCCCAGGCUCCUGUCUCAGGGAUGAAUGUGGCCUGGGGGCGUCCCCGGGGAAGGUGGGGAGGGCUGCUCUGGGAGACAUCUUGGGGGGCAGGGGAGCCGGGCUCCGCUCAGGGCGAGGUUUUUGGAGCGACGGCACCUGAACGCCCCCCUCCAUUCUCUCCUCUUUAACUUUGCUCGUUCCUUCUCUCUUGGCCCCUGGGCUUGGGGCCACAGCCCCCUGGAGUAGGUACAGUAACAGGAGGCCGCACCCCGUCUCCACACGACCCUUCCUCCUGCUUAGAAGGGUCUCCCGGACGCGCCCACGUGGGGGGUGUCUGCCUCACCUUCUACCUCAGGUCUGACUCUCGAUGCCAAACCCCGUGCCCUGCCCCCCCCGCACUCCCCUCCACCUGGAAGGCUGUGGGCCCGCUUUGUGGGUGCGCGCGCGCGUCUUCAUGCGUGUCCUUGCGUUGGGACCCAUGUGGCCUCCAGAGGUAACUCGGGGUGCGGCCUGCUGUGCUGUGAUGAUUGUAGGGGACAGGUGGGGGCGGGGCGGGGGGCCUGGCCAGCCCCAGGGGCGGCCGUGCCCGGUGACCCACCCUCGCUGGGAAUGCGAGUGGGGUCCUCCCCUGUCUCUGCUCUCGGUGCCCGUGCAACCCCCUGUCCCUCCUGUCCCUGGAGCGUAGGAAAGGGGGGCUUUCGGGGGUGCAGAGCCGUGCCCCCUCUGAAGCCCCAGGCAGGAGAGGACGGGGGGCAGCUGUCUGUGCCCUCGGCCCGCUCAUUCCUGAGCGAGCUUCGCAGGGGGAGGGCGGGGACCCCAAACAGGGUGGAGAGGAGCUCUCUGGGGCUCCCCUGCUGGAGAUGAUGCUUCCAGAAGCUUCCAUGGGACCCCGAGCCAGGAGCCGGGCAGCGGGGUGGGGCAGCAUGUCCCUUUCCGUAGUUCUGCCUUCGUACACCCCUUUCCCAUCCUGACCGCUCUCGUCCACUUUGGCGUUUCUCUCCCUUUACUUUUGCUUUUGCAUUUUUUUUCUUGGCAAACAUGAAUGCAGCCUUUCAUUCCUGACAUGUGAAAUUUCAGUUUCUCGGGUUCGUCAGACGGCGUGGGUCCUGCGCCAGCACUCAGGUUAAAGCGAAAAAAAACUUUUUAAAAAAUAGGUUUAAACGACUCUACCUCUGGCCGGGCCUGGCCUUGUCGCCCUGGCCAGGGCGGCCUGUACCGAUUUCAGUUUUUGCAGAACAUUCAGGUAUUAAAAGGGAAAAAAAAAAAAAAAAAAAAA